GCGGGUGUAGCUCAAUUGGCAGAGCAGUAGCCUUCCAAGCUACUCGUUGUGGGUUCGAGUCCCAUCGCCCGCU
rnacentral:tRNA from 1 species